AAGAGAAGCAAAGCCGCGAGGUAGAGCAAAUCUCAAAAAAACAAUCUCAGUUCAGACUGCAGGCUGCAACUCGCCUGCACGAAGUCGGAAUUGCUAGUAAUCGUAGGUCAGCAUACUACGGUGAACACGUUCCCGGGCCUUGUACACACCGCCCGUCAAACCAUGAGAGUUGGCAACACCCGAAGUCGGUAGUCUAACCGCAAGGAGGACGCCGCCGAAGGUGGGGUUGAUGAUUAGGGUUAAGUCGUAACAAGGUACC
rnacentral:rRNA from 1 species